rnacentral:rRNA from 1 species
UACGAAGGGGGCUAGCGUUGUUCGGAAUUACUGGGCGUAAAGCGCGUGUAGGCGGGUCUUUAAGUCAGGGGGGAAAUGCCAAGGCUCAACCUUGGAACUGCCUUUGAUACUGGAGAUCUUGAGUCCGGGAGAGGUGAGUGGAACUGCGAGUGUAGAGGUGAAAUUCGUAGAUAUUCGGAAGAACACCAGUGGCGAAGGCGACUCACUGGCCCAUUACUGACGCUGAGGCGCGAAAGCGUGGGGAGCAAACAGG